GAUCUACUCCCUCCGUUCUGAAUUACUUGUCGCACGUAUGGAUGUAUCUAGCUGUAUUUUAGUUCUAGAUACAUCUAUUUCUGCGACGAGUAAUUUGAAACGGAGGGAGUAGGAA
rnacentral:pre_miRNA from 1 species